rnacentral:ribozyme from 13 species
UAUAUAUUUAUACUUUUAUUUGUCUUCAAUUUUUUUUUUUUCUUUUUUUUUUUUUCUUU